UUUUGGCAAAACGCGUGUACUCAUAGAAAAAUUGGUUAGAGUUGUCUGUGUAAAUAUUUAUUUAUUUUGGUCAAAAAACACAUAUCUUUCCAGAACCCCUCUAUCCAUUGGUUUUGAUGGCACGAGAUAUGUGCUAGGUAACCUAGUCUAGGUUUGUUUGCCAAUCUGUCGAGUAUCUUGUUUGAACAAUAUUCUUAGCUAGCUAGUGCCACCCAAACUUCCUCGGAGUAAACGCAAGUGAAGAAAAAAUGAUCUCGAGUUUUUGUCUCAGUAUUGCAAAGAAAACACGUAUCCGAAUUAAAUUAAUGGAAUGUAACCUUUUUCUGUUGAUCUCAUGUCGCGGUCGAGUUCCGCGGGAGUGGAUUAUCCCUUCUCCACCUCUAGUAUACUCAAACUGAACGUAAGUAAUUACUUUACGGUCUUCACCUACGUUUAUUGUCAUGACCUUCCGAAAGCCUCCAUCAUCCCAAUUAAAAAUAUCUUCUACAAGGGUACCCUCGCCAUGGAAGCUCCUACAAAAUCAGAUUUUCUUAUUCGAAAUUCCUGUACUCUAAUAUGCAUUCCAAUGGAAUUAAUUACAAGGGUACACUGGCCAUGGAGGCUCACAAAGUUUUCUCCAUCUCUCGUAAACUUAAACUCUUGAGAUCCUGAAUGUAUAUUACUAUGAGAAAAUCUUUUACUUCUCCCGUAUAGAUUGAGAACUCAAGGUUGAACAAGCGUUGCUCCCACAUUCCACAUUCUCAUACGAUCCCUUGUGAAGAGUCGAUUUAGUACCGCUAGCCACACACAAAAAGAGUGUCUAGGCGUCGCGUGAGUAAACCAUCCUUCUUUAUACCAGUUGAUUUGAUAAAAGCUUAUGUAUGCUGGGCUAGCGUUGGAUAUAUAUGCCAGUAUCUAGUGUUGGGAUUUUUUAUCCGAGCCGAACCGGUUUUUGGUGCAAACUUGGUUCAGUAGUCGAGUCGGUUCAAUUCGGAGAGAUUUAAAAAUAGGUUCGGUUUUUAGUUCGGUAAACUGAACAGAACGAUUAACCGAUUUUUUAAAAAGUAAACCU
rnacentral:sRNA from 1 species